rnacentral:tRNA from 1 species
GCGAGAGUGGCGAAAUUGGUAGACGCACCAGACUUAGGAUCUGGCGUGGCGACACAUCGGGGUUCGAGUCCCCGCUUUCGCACCA